GAUGAACGCUGGCGGCGUGCUUAACACAUGCAAGUCGAACGGAAAGGCUCCUGCUUGCAGGGGUACUCGAGUGGCGAACGGGUGAGUAACACGUGGGUGAUCUGCCCUGCACUUCGGGAUAAGCCUGGGAAACUGGGUCUAAUACCGGAUAGGACGAUGGUUUGGAUGCCAUUGUGGAAAGUUUUUCGGUGUGGGAUGAGCUCGCGGCCUAUCAGCUUGUUGGUGGGGUAAUGGCCUACCAAGGCGUCGACGGGUAGCCGGCCUGAGAGGGUGUACGGCCACAGUGGGACUGAGAGACGGCCCAGACUCAUACGGGAGGCAGCAGUGGGGAAUAUUGCACAAUGGGCGCAAGCCUGAUGCAGCGACGCCGCGUGGGGGAUGACGGCCUUCGGGUUGUAAACUCCUUUCGCUAGGGACGAAGCGCAAGUGACGGUACCUGGAGAAGAAGCACCGGCUAACUACGUG
rnacentral:rRNA from 1 species